UAUUGGACAAUGGGCGCAAGCCUGAUCCAGCCAUACCGCGUGGGUGAAGAAGGCCUUCGGGUUGUAAAGCCCUUUUGUUGGGAAAGAAAUCCAGCCGGCUAAUACCUGGUUGGGAUGACGGUACCCAAAGAAUAAGCACCGGCUAACUUCGUGCCAGCAGCCGCGGUAAUACGAAGGGUGCAAGCGUUACUCGAAUUACUGGGCGAAAGCGUGCGUAGGUGGUUAUUAAGUCCGUUGUAAAGCCCUGGGCUCAACCUGGAACUGCAGUGAUACUGAUACAGAUGUGGAGAGGGAGCGAAUUCCUGGUGAGCAGUAAAUGCGAAGUCAGAGAACAUCCAUGGAAGGAGCUCCUGGCCACCUAGACUGGACAAAUCUUAGUU
rnacentral:rRNA from 1 species